rnacentral:rRNA from 1 species
CCUACGGGAGGCAGCAGUGGGGAAUAUUGGACAAUGGGGGGAACCCUGAUCCAGCGACGCCGCGUGAGUGAAGAAGUAUUUCGGUAUGUAAAGCUCUAUCAGCAGGGAAGAAAAUGACGGUACCUGACUAAGAAGCCCCGGCUAACUACGUGCCAGCAGCCGCGGUAAUACGUAGGGGGCAAGCGUUAUCCGGAUUUACUGGGUGUAAAGGGAGCGGAGACGGGGCAGCAAGUCUGGUGUGAAAGGUCGGGGCCCAACCCCGGGACUGCAUUGGAAACUGUGGAACUGGAGUGCAGGAGAGGUAAGCGGAAUUCGUGGUGUAGCGGUGAAAUGCGUAGAUAUUGGGAAGAACACCGAUGGCGAAGGCGGCUUGCUGGGCUGUAACUGACGUUGAGGCUCGAAAGCGUGGGGAGCGAACAGGAUUAGAUACCCCUGUAGUC